UACGGAGGGAGCUAGCGUUGUUCGGAAUUACUGGGCGUAAAGCGUGCGUAGGCGGUGACUCAAGUCAGAGGUGAAAGCCUGGAGCUCAACUCCAGAACUGCCUUUGAAACUAGGUCGCUAGAACAUGGGAGAGGUGAGUGGAAUUCCGAGUGUAGAGGUGAAAUUCGUAGAUAUUCGGAAGAACACCAGUGGCGAAGGCGGCUCACUGGACCAUUGUUGACGCUGAGGCACGAAAGCGUGGGGAGCAAACAGG
rnacentral:rRNA from 1 species